rnacentral:rRNA from 1 species
CCAAUAGCGUAUAUUAAAGUUGUUGCAGUUAAAAAGCUCGUAGUUGAAUUUCGGGAUCAGUACGCUGGUCGUGCCUUCGGUAUGAACUGGUGUCACUGGUUCCUCCCUUCUGAAGAACUGUCAUGCCAUUAAGUUGGUGUGGCGGGGAAUCAGGACUGUUACUUUGAAAAAAUUAGAGUGUUUAAAGCAGGCUCGCGCUUGAAUACAUUAGCAUGGAAUAAUGAAAUAGGACGUUUGAUCCUAUUUUGUUGGUUUCUAGGAUCGACGUAAUGAUUAAUAGGGAUAGUUGGGGGCAUUAGUAUUCAAUUGUCAGAGGUGAAAUUCUUGGAUUUAUUGAAGACUAACUACUGCGAAAGCAUUUGCCAAGGAUGUUUUCAUUAAUCAAGAACGAAAGUUAGGGGAUCGAAGACGAUCAGAUACCGUCGUAGUCUUAACCAUAAACUAUGCCGACUAGGGAUCGGAUGAUGUUAAUUUUUUAAUGACUCAUUCGGCGCCUUACG